ensembl:snRNA U6 U6 spliceosomal RNA
GUGCUCACUUCGGCUGUACAUAUACUGAAAUUGGAAUGAUACAGAGAAGAUUAAAAUGUCCCCUGCGCAAGGAUGACAAGCAAAUUUGUGAGCGUUCCAUAUUUUU